UAUCAACUGGACCCUCAUAGGGGACGUGCUUCCAAGUACGUUAAGCACACUUGAUGAAGUUAACAAUGGUUGGGAGGCCCACACUAAAAGUGAUGGCACCAUUCCCUAGGCCUGGAUCUGGACUCCACGAAAAGGAGAGAGCUAGAUGGGCAGCAGCCUUCGUUGUCUCCUGCUUCCUGACGAUGGACACCCUAUGACCACCUGCCUCAAUUCUCUAGCUGUCAUGAUGUCUCCACUAUGACUGGGAUGUACCCUAGAACUGAAACAACACUGCUCUGCCUGCAGCAGCCACCCUCACACUCCACAUCACCACCAACAGUGCAUCAUUGUCGAGUUCUCUACUGUCCAUCAAACGUGUGGCUUGCGUUCUGCUGGUUAACUGGUGAUUUUGAUAAGAAUGGUCCCCCACUCUCUCUAGUUUCUUUUUGGAGGCACUUAGGGCUAUAAAUUUUCCUGUUAGGACUGCCUUCAUUGUGUCCCAUAAGUUUGGGUAUGUUGUGGCUUCAUUUUCAUUAAAC
rnacentral:lncRNA from 1 species